rnacentral:rRNA from 1 species
UACGUAGGGGGCAAGCGUUGUCCGGAAUCAUUGGGCGUAAAGCGCACGUAGGCGGCCCGGUAAGUCCGUUGUGAAAGUCAGAGGCUCAACCUCUGGAGGCCAAUGGAUACUGCCGGCUAGAGUCCGGAAGAGGCGAGUGGAAUUCCUGGUGUAGCGGUGGAAUGCGCAGAUAUCAGGAGGAACACCAAUGGCGAAGGCAGCUCGCUGGGACGGUACUGACGCUGAGGUGCGAAAGCGUGGGGGAGCGAACAGG